rnacentral:tRNA from 1 species
AGUCGUAUAACAGUUUGAGUAUUGGACUAUGACUCUGAAGACCAGGGUUCGAUUCCCAGUUCGGCUG